GUGAACACAACCGUGAAUCUGAGGUUGCUCCGGCGUUAAUUGCAGUUCAUCCAACUCAGAAAUCCGUCGCCGUUGCCGUCGGUUCGAAUCUCCGCGUCUUUAAUCUUCAAGAAGGUUGUUCGGUUUCAUUGGUGGAUAAUUCAGGAGUGCACAUGCAUAAGGAUUCAAUAAGAGCAAUUCAAUAUGGUGCUGAAGGAAAGCUGUUUGUAUCUGCUGGCGAUGACAAACUUGUUAAGAUUUGGGUUACUGAUUCU
rnacentral:misc_RNA from 1 species